GGAGACCAAAUCAAUGACAACACUGCUAUGUAUUACAGCUGUUAUGGAGAUUACAACCUGAAGCAGAAGGAAAUGUACUGCAAGAUGUUUGCAUCUCUCAAUUCUCUUUCAGUAGAAGAAGGCUCAAAGUUAGAAAAUAACAAUGUAGAGGAAUCCACUGACCAGGAAGCCCCCAGUCCUGUUGCUCAGAAUCUGGAUGACCAGAAGAAAGAGACUGAUCUAUAAUAUGAUGGAUCUCCACUUCUGUUUGGAACACCAUAUUGUUUUAUGCGGAGUACCGAACGGAUAAAAAUAUGCAGUUAAAUACACAUGAUGAUGCAUUUCUCCAGGGAUUGCUCAUUGUUACUGGCACUCAGAGACAUUUGUUGAGAAGAAGUUAUAUCUCUACUGUUUUGUUCUCACUGUGAAGAAAAUUCUGGUAAAUGAUAAGUUUAAUAUGAGACUAUUUUUCUUUUUGCUCUGAUAUUCAAAAGGAUGUAAGUAGAAAGUUGCAAUGUUUUGUGUUUUUCCAAGAAUGUUCUUGUGUUCCUUGUUAUGCAAAAUAAAUGUACUUCUGAC